UUUUUAGUACAAGUAUGUCCCACACAGUAUUUGGAACAUACUUAUACUAAAA
rnacentral:pre_miRNA from 1 species